UUGAGAAUCCUAGAGACUGGAAUCCUUUAUCCAUUCACCAACAGAUAUAACUUGUGUAGAAACACUGCAAAACUCCCCAAGCCUUACCAUCCUCCUACUACCCUGCCAUGAAACUGAACCCAGAACUAAAGGGAUGAUGUUUCAAUGCAAACGGCUGGGCUAGUCCCUCUCUGGAGUUAUUCAAUUCUUGCACCUCA
rnacentral:sRNA from 1 species